rnacentral:rRNA from 1 species
AACGAACGCUGGCGGCAUGCCUAACACAUGCAAGUCGAACGAGACCUUCGGGUCUAGUGGCGCACGGGUGCGUAACGCGUGGGAACCUGCCCUUAGGUUCGGAAUAACUCCCCGACAGGGGUGCUAAUACCGGAUAAUGUCUUCGGACCAAAGAUUUAUCGCCUUUGGAUGGGCCCGCGUUGGAUUAGCUAGUUGGUAGGGUAAAAGCCUACCAAGGCGACGAUCCAUAGCUGGUCUGAGAGGAUGAUCAGCCACACUGGGACUGAGACACGGCCCAGACUCCUACGGGAGGCAGCAGUGGGGAAUAUUGGACAAUGGGGGAAAGCAUGAUCCAGCAAGGACGCGUGAGUGAUGAAGGCCUUAGGGUUGUAAAGCGCUUUUACCCGGGAUGAUAAUGACAGUACCGGGAGAAUAAGCUCCGGCUAACUCCGUG